AGAUUGAACGCUGGCGGCAUGCCUUACACAUGCAAGUCGAACGGCAGCACGGGAGCAAUCCUGGUGGCGAGUGGCGAACGGGUGAGUAAUACAUCGGAACGUGCCCAGUAAUGGGGGGAUAGCCCGGCGAAAGCCGGAUUAAUACCGCAUACGACCUAUGGGUGAAAGCGGGGGAUCGCAAGACCUCGCGUUGUUGGAGCGGCCGAUGUCAGAUUAGCUUGUUGGUGGGUAAAGCCCACCAAGGCGACGAUCUGUAGCUGGUCUGAGAGGACGACCAGCCACACUGGGACUGAGACACGGCCCAGACUCCUACGGGAGGCAGCAGUGGGGAAUUUUGGACAAUGGGCGCAAGCCUGAUCCAGCCAUGCCGCGUGUGGGAAGAAGGCCUUCGGUUGUAAACCUACGUUUUGUCAGGUAAGAACGGCCUAAGAUUAAUACUACUAGCUAAUG
rnacentral:rRNA from 1 species